rnacentral:rRNA from 1 species
UGAACGCUAGCGGCAGGCUUAAUACAUGCAAGUCGUGGGGCAGCAGGUUUGUAGCAAUACAGAUGCUGGCGACCGGCAAACGGGUGCGGAACACGUACAGAACCUUCCUUUGAGCGGGGAAUAGCCCAGAGAAAUUUGGAUUAACUACCCAUAGUAUAAUGAAGUGGCAUCACUUUAUUAUUAAAGAUUUAUCACUCGAAGAUGGCUGUGCGGCUGAUUAGGUAGUUGGCGGGGUAAAGGCCCACCAAGCCUGCGAUCAGUAACUGGUGUGAGAGCACGACCAGUCACACGGGCACUGAGACACGGGCCCGACUCCUACGGGAGGCAGCAGUAAGGAAUAUUGGUCAAUGGAGGCAACUCUGAACCAGCCAUGCCGCGUGGAGGAUGAAGGUCCUCUGGAUUGUAAACUUCUUUUAUAUGGGACGAAAAAAGGCUUUUCUAAGUCGUCUGACGGUACCAUAUGAAUAAGCACCUGCUAACUCCGUG